CUCCCUCUGACUGGAACGUAAUGGACAGAAACAAGUAUUUGUCCUGUCUGCUCACAUGAUAUUAGAGCCAAUGAGAGUGAAGAGACACAGUCUGGUUUUGUGUUCAUCCGGGUGACAAAUAGAAGCUGUGGUUUGAGAUGAGACCACAUUUUCCCGCAGGGUGUGUAGACUGAUUUCUGAACUGUCUGAGGUGAAGCUCUCAGUUAUUUCAUCUCACAAUCGACUGACUCUAUUCUUCCACGGUGUCUCUGUUGAAAAUUAUGCCCUCAAGGAGUGAGGAGUAACUGAGGGAAAGUUCAACAAGUUGGGCACAGGACACAGCAGCACUGCAGCUAUAAUGGACUGUUUUGGACACACCCUCCUCUGAAGUUACACUGAUUUCCAUGAAGCCGUUUGGGGGCUUGGUUUGCCCGCAAGCUGAUCCCACCGUCGGUGGAGUCAACAAGGCACUUACACGCUCCUCGUCCUCCAACGUCACACCGCCUCUGCUGAGCAAAACCCGAGUGGCACCGCUGUCAUACAGCGUGAUAUCAAGGAGCUGCUAAAAAACCUGUCUGGGCUGGCGGAGUAUAUGGCAGUCAUGAUUAAGGUUGCACAAUUCCAGGAAUUUUCAAUACAUUCCCUGGUUGUACUGAAAUCCCAGUUGGAGGAUUCCCAGAAUCAGAAGGAAAUAAGCAAGAAAUACAGAAUCCUCCAACCAGGAUUUCUGGAAAACCAGGUCAUUUAUUGUAAGUUUCCGUAUUUUUGGAAUCCUAGUCAUCAGUAUGAGAGUAGCUAAGACAGCACUUCUCUACAUUACAGCAUUCUAUGGGCCUACCACUAUUCAUUUAUCUUGUUCCUCAACCUUGACUUACAGUAAAAGUAUGUUGAGCAAACAUUGAGCAAAUUAAAGGCUCGAUAUUAUGAUAUUGUUGGUUCUCCAUCUGGUGAAUCUAUAGUCCAACUGAAAGUCUUUCUACAGCGUUUUUUCUUUGCUACAAUACUGAAUAAGUCUCCAUACUGCCUUAUGUAAGUCUAAUGCAGACAUCUAGUCUGCUAUGUUUCAUGAGCUGAAAUAAAAGAUCCCACAUAUGUAUAUAUAUAUAUAUUAAGCUGAUCCACCCCUAAAAUAAAAUGUAAAAAAGAAUUUAAAAAAUAUAUAUAUAUUUAUUUAUUUAAUUUAUUUAUUUUUAUUAAAAAGAUAAUCCAUCCACCUGACAGGUACGGCAUAUCAAGAAGCUGAUUAAACAGCAUGACACAGGUGCACCAUGUGUUGUGUGACAAAAUUGCACAUUUUAGAGUGCCCUUUUAUUGACCCCAGCACAGAGCAAUUGGCACUGACUGCAGGAAUGUCUACCAGAGCUGUUGCCAUAGAAUUUAAUGUUAAUUUAUCUACCAUAAGUUGCCUCCAACGUAAUUUGGUAGUGCGUCCAACCGGCCUCACAACAGCGGUUUGCUGAUGUCAAUGUUGUGAACAGAGUGCUCCAUGGACAAGGAACACAAUUGCAUUUUAUCGAUGGAAAUUUGAAUGCACAGAGAUACAGUGACGAGAUCCCGAGGCACAUUGUCGUGUCAUUCAUCCGCCGCCAUCACGUCAUGUUUCAGCAUGAUAAAUCACAGCCCCGUGUUGCAAGGAUCUGUGCACAAUUUCUGGAUGAUAAAAAUGUCCCAGUUCUUCCAUGGCCUGCAUACUAACCAGACAUGCCACCCUUUGAGCAUGUUUGGGAUGCUCUGGAUUGACGUGUACGACAGCUUGUUCCAGUUCCUGACAAUAUCCAGCAACUUCACACAGCAAUUGAAGAGGAGUGGGACAACAUUCCACAAGCCACAAUCAAAAGCCUGAUUAACUCCAUGCAAAUGAGAUAUUGACUGGUUUUCUGAUCCACGCCUCUACCUUUUUUUAAAGGCAUUGUGUCAUGUGAAAUCGAUAGAUUAGGGCCUAAUGAAUGUAUUUCAAUUGACUGAUUUCCUCCUAUGAACUGUAAAAAAAAUAUGUGCAUGUUGCGUUUAUAUUUUUGUUCAGUAUAUGUCAACCUGUGUGUGGUUACAAUUGAGAACAUCAUUGCUACAACAUACUGUCUUGGCACAUCUGCUGAACAGCCCCAUGACACCUUUAAAUAGAAAAGCCAUUCACUUUUUUAAGACACAACCCACUGGGCACACACUGGUUGAAUCAAUGUUGUUUCCACUCAUUUCAAUGACGUUGAACCAACGUGGGAUAGACGUUGAAUUGACGUCUGUGCCCAGUGAGAAUGCAUCUUGUAUCCAGUAGGUUGCAUAUUGCUCUGUUGCACGCAAGGCACAUUUUGACAUGCACACAGAAACACAGACAAACAAACACACAGACACACAAACACUGACACACAAAUACACAGACACACAAACACAGACCAGAUCCCCAAGUGUUGGGAAGGAAUAUCAUGCUCUGUGGCUCGAGACAAAACAUUUUGCUAACGCGGACGGUUCCAUCUGCACACAGAGCCCGGCAUUCCCAACGAGAUACAAUGACAACAACAAAGGCGAUGAUAUGUCUUCUAAUGCCACUGUGGAGCUUCCAGAGCCAAUUGUUUUGCAGCCUGGCACAGUAUACCGUUCUGAGAUGUUGUUGUGAUCGCUUGGAUACUAGCCAUGAAAGUGUAAAAAUACAAGAGGACGAGCAACUUCCUCCCAGCAACCUCGACAACCUGGCUUGGCGACGUCUCCUCGUGUGUACGUGUCAAUUUGCUAAGUCUCCUGAUUGUCCCUGUUGGCUUCCUGUCUCGUUUAGAGCAGCUAGAGACAGAGGUAAAGUAAUAACACGUAUUUAUUUAUUUAUUUAUUACUUUGUUUUGUUACUUUGUUUUGACGCUACAGCGUUGCAACGCAAUGCUACAUUGGAUGCCCAUAGGUUAGGUUAGGGAGUUCACCACAGGUGGGAUGUACUAGCAUUCAAUAGAUUUCUAUUGGAAAUUACCAUGAAAAGCAACCCGUUUUGGUGACAGUUCCACCACCCACAAGCAUCCCAGUUGAACGCCAAUGACUGUGGAUGCCCUAUUUCUACCCAUGUCAGAGACGCAAACUCGGUCUCAACCUUUAAGUCUUUACUGAAGACUCAUCUCUUCAGUGGGUCAUAUGAUUGAGUGUAGUCUGGCCCAGGAGUGGGAAGGUGAACGGAAAGGCUCUGGAGCAACGAACCGCCCUUGCUGUCUCUGCCUGGCCGAUUCCCCUCUUUCCACUGGGAUUCUCUGCCUCUACCCUGUUACGGGGGCUGAGUCACUGGCUUACUGGGGCUCUCUCAUGCCGUCCCUGGGGGGGGGUGCGUCACCUGGGUGGGUUGAUUCACUGUUGUGGUCGGCCUGUCUGGGUUGGCGCCUCCCCCUUGGGUUGUGCCGUGGCGGAGAUCUUUGUGGGCUAUACUCGGCCUUGUCUCAGGAUGGUAAGUUGGUGGUUGAAGAUAUCCCUCUAGUGGUGUGGGGGCUGUGCUUUGGCAAAGUGGGUGGGGUUAUAUCCUUCCUGUUUGGCCCUGUCCGGGGGUGUCCUCGGGUUGGGGCCACAGUGUCUCCUGACCCCUCCUGUCUCAGCCUCCAGUAUUUAUGCUGCAUUAGUUUAUGUGUCGGGGCUAGGGUCAGUUUGUUAUAUCUGGAGUACUUCUCCUGUCCUAUUCGGUGUCCUGUGUGAAUCUAAGUGUGCGUUCUCUAAUUCUCUCCUUCUCUCUUUCUUUCUCUCUCUCGGAGGACCUGAGCCCUAGGACCAUGCCCCAGGACUACCUGACAUGAUGACUCCUUGCUGUCCCCAGUCCACCUGGCCAUGCUGCUGCUCCAGUUUCAACUGGCCUGGGCCCUAGGACCAUGUCCCAGGACUACCUGACAUGAUGACUCCUUGCUGUCCCCAGUCCACCUGGCCAUGCUGCUGCUCCAGUUUCAACUGUUCUGCCUUACUAUUAUUCAACCAUGCUGGUCAUUUAUGAACAUUUGAACAUCUUGGCCACGUUCUGUUAUAAUCUCCACCCGGCACAGCCAGAAGAGGACUGGCCACCCCACAUAUGCUCUCUCUAAUUCUCUCUUUCUUUCUCUCUCUCUCGGAGGACCUGAGCCCUAGGACCGUGCCCCAGGACUACCUGACAUGAUGACUCCUUGCUGUCCCCAGUCCACCUGACUGUGCUGCUGCUCCAGUUUCAACUGUUCUGCCUUAUUAUUAUUCGACCAUGCUGGUCAUUUAUGAACAUUUGAACAUCUUGGUCAUGUUCUGUUAUAAUCUCUACCCGGCACAGCCAGAAGAGGACUGGCCACCCCACAUAGCCUGGUUCCUCUCUAGGUUUCUUCCUAGGUUUUGGCCUUUCUAGGGAGUUUUUCCUAGCCACCGUGCUUUUACACCUGCAUUGUUUGCUGUUUGGGGUUUUAGGCUGGGUUUCUGUACAGCACUUUGAGAUAUCAGCUGAUGUACGAAGGGCUAUAUAAAUAAAUUUGAUUUGAUUUGAUUUGAUAUUUCUCACACCUUACAACUAUGCGUUCAAGUGAGAUUAUCACAAUUUUAUAUGACCCAGAAAGACCCCUCCUCUGGCCUUGUAUGGAGCUUCUAGGCUUUUGCCCAGAGGCACUGGGCCCACCCAAUGCGUGCUGCAUGGGAAUAUAGGGUCCUUUCUUAUCAGUAAGAACAUCAGGUUAAGCUCUGACAUCACCCUCAGGAAGCCAUCCACCACUGAGAGUCAUCCUAACUGACUGUCAAAACAGACACUUCCCCAUUCAUUCUCAGUUUUUAUGAAACCAACACUAAUUCCUUUGCAGCACCAUCAUGUUCUAGUUUUUUCUUUGUUACAUGUGACCGUGCAUGUGACUCAGAGGCAGAGGCACAAGAUGACCUUCUGGUCAGCCAGUACUUCUGUAAUGAACCCCCUGGCUGGAUUUUUAUAGGAUGCUUUUAAUGGGAGAUACACAAGAGCAUAAAUCAAUCUGAACUGGAGAUGUUCAUCUUGAGAUUGUAGAAGCAGCCAAGAAGCACCACCACGCUCAUUUGGGAAUAACUGGACCAGACUGGGUCACCUGAGUUAUGGUGUCAUGUCGUAGGCUCACGCUAGGCCUGUUGCGGGCUAAAAGGUGUUGUUAAUUUAGACCAGAAUCUUGACCAUGAUGUUUGUUUGUCUGUCUGCUUGUCAUUGAUUUGUCGUUGAUUUAGGACAAACAAAUCGGUACCAAAAACAUCUGUGCGGACCUCCAUUGAAUUUCCGAAAUCCCAAUGAGGCCCUUCUCAGACAGACCGUAAGAGAAGUCAAUGCCCUGUUUGUGAUAUGUGCCAUAACCACCUAUUGCAAUGUGUCAAGACACAUACUGUAUGUGCCAAGCUACCAAGCCAGGCCCUGCCCCAGUAGGUUUGGUGAGAGAUGGAAAAGUCUAUUUUGGUCAUGUUUUGAAAAUGUUGGUAGUUUGAACUGACAGUUUUGUAUGAAUGUGUUAUCCUGGAUGGCCUGUCAAAUCAAUAAUACCACCCUGGUAUUCUGUUUCCUCGUUCACUACAGACAGCAGUGCCUACUAGGCCACAGACGUUUCCAGUGAAGGAGCUUAUAAUGCCUCUACCACACAGCCACCUCACUCACGUGAACAAGGCAUUGGAGGUUUGGUCUCAUAAACUAGUCCCAGAUGGAGUUUUGAUGAGAUAAAAAAAAUGACAUGGAAAUAA